rnacentral:rRNA from 1 species
GCCCACUUUGACCUAUCUGGAAAAUUUAAACAGGGUCAGAUCUGCUUUGUAUUUGGAUGGGAGAGCACCAAGAAAUGCCAGGGGAGUGGGCU